CAGAGGGAAUACAGAGGGCAAU
rnacentral:miRNA from 1 species